GAUGAACGCUGGCGGCGUGCCUAAUACAUGCAAGUCGAGCGAACGGACGAGAAGCUUGCUUCUCUGAUGUUAGCGGCGGACGGGUGAGUAACACGUGGAUAACCUACCUAUAAGACUGGGAUAACUUCGGGAAACCGGAGCUAAUACCGGAUAAUAUUUUGAACCGCAUGGUUCAAAAGUGAAAGACGGUCUUGCUGUCACUUAUAGAUGGAUCAGCGCUGCAUUAGCUAGUUGGUAAGGUAACGGCUUACCAAGGCAACGAUGCAUAGCCGACCUGAGAGGGUGAUCGGCCACACUGGAACUGAGACACGGUCCAGACUCCUACGGGAGGCAGCAGUAGGGAAUCUUCCGCAAUGGGCGAAAGCCUGACGGAGCAACGCCGCGUGAGUGAUGAAGGUCUUCGGAUCGUAAAACUCUGUUAUUAGGGAAGUACAUAUGUGUAAGUAACUGUGCACAUCUUGACGGUACCUAAUCAGAAAGCCACGGCUAACUACGUG
rnacentral:rRNA from 1 species